CCCUUAGAUGUCCUGGGCUGCACGCGCGCUACACUGAAAGAAUCAGCUGGUAAGUUGCUCCUGGCUUGGAAACGUCGGGCAACCCGUUGAACCUCCUUCGUGCUUGGGAUUGGGGCUUGCAAUUAUUCCCCAUGAACGAGGAAUUCCCAGUAGGCGCGAGUCAUCAGCUCGCGUCGAUUACGUCCCUGCCCUUUGUACACACCGCCCGUCGCUACUACCGAUUGAAUGGCUUAGUGAGCCUUUGGGAUUGGCAGCCAACACCGGCAACGGUAGCUGGCCGCCGAAAACUUAUGCAAACUUGGUCAUUUAGAGGAAGUAAAAGUCGUAACA
rnacentral:rRNA from 1 species